UACGGAAGGCAGCAGUGGGGAAUAUUGCACAAUGGGCGCAAGCCUGAUGCAGCCAUGCCGCGUGUAUGAAGAAGGCCUUCGGGUUGUAAAGUACUUUCAGCGGGGAGGAAGGCGAUGCGGUUAAUAACCGCGUCGAUUGACGUUACCCGCAGAAGAAGCACCGGCUAACUCCGUGCCAGCAGCCGCGGUAAUACGGAGGGUGCAAGCGUUAAUCGGAAUUACUGGGCGUAAAGCGCACGCAGGCGGUCUGUUAAGUCAGAUGUGAAAUCCCCGGGCUUAACCUGGGAACUGCAUUUUGAACUGGCAGGCUUGAGUCUUGUAGAGGGGGUAGAAUUCCAGGUGUAGCGGUGAAAUGCGUAGAGAUCUGGAGGAAUACCGGUGGCGAAGGCGGCCCCUGGGACAAAGACUGACGCUCAGGUGCGAAAGCGUGGGGAGCAAACGAGGAUUAGAUACC
rnacentral:rRNA from 1 species